rnacentral:rRNA from 1 species
AGUCCAGACUCCUACGGGAGGCAGCAGUGAGGAAUAUUGGUCAAUGGACGAGAGUCUGAACCAGCCAAGUAGCGUGAAGGAUGACUGCCCUAUGGGUUGUAAACUUCUUUUAUAAAGGAAUAAAACGAGGCACGUGCGCCUUUUUGCAUGUACUUUAUGAAUAAGGAUCGGCUAACUCCGUGCCAGCAGCCGCGGUAAUACGGAGGAUCCGAGCGUUAUCCGGAUUUAUUGGGUUUAAAGGGUGCGCAGGCGGAAUGUCAAGUCAGCGGUAAAAUUUCGGGGCUCAACCCCGUCGUGCCGUUGAAACUGGCGUUCUUGAGUGAGCGAGAAGUAUGCGGAAUGCGUGGUGUAGCGGUGAAAUGCAUAGAUAUCACGCAGAACUCCGAUUGCGAAGGCAGCAUACCGGCGCCCAACUGACGCUGAAGCACGAAAGCGUGGGUAUCGAACAGGAUUAGAUACCCGUGUA